rnacentral:tRNA from 3 species
GCCUCCGUAGCUCAAUGGAUAGAGCAUCGGCCUUCUAAUCCGCAGGUUGCCGGUUCGAGUCCGGCCGGGGGCACCA